rnacentral:lncRNA from 1 species
CCCGCUCGCUCGAGCUCGGCGCGGACCCGCCCGGGAGCGCUCCUCGCAGCAGCUGCCCGGGUUCCCACCGCCCUACCGGGCGCGAGCGAUCAGACUACCUCGGAGGGCGCGCUCAGACACCCAGAUGUCCGGCCACCUCAGUGGGUACCCUCGGCACCCUGUGAUCCGACCACCCGCGGAGGCGCGCUAGCCCUCUGGGUGGGCGUGCUGGGCUUCUCUGCGGCGGAAGUCUGGACCACAGAUUGUGACUUCUUUUCUAGCAGUAGGUGUUGACUGGUCCGACUGCUGCCCUUCUGCCCAAGAGUAGUUCAAACUGGCCUCUAACUGAACCUGGAACUCACUGACUGAACUCGAGUUGCUGUUGAGAAAGCCCCAGGGACUGUUUGGUCUUCUCCCGCUCAAAAUUUGCGAUGCAGUGCCUCCUCAGGCCCAUCAAAGUCUUCCAGGAUCACGCAGAGGACCAUGCCACAGUCGGAAGUGAGGUAAACAAGUCUCCUCAUUGCUAUAUUUUGUAAUUAUCAGACAAGAGAGUGGAGUUCCCGCCUGAAGCCCCUCAGGCCUGUGUGAAGCUUAACCAUGUAUGUACUCAAUGUAGGUGUGAUCAGUUUUCAGAUCCAUGCAAAUGUGAGCUGACUUUCCCCUGAUGUUUGCUGAGUGCAUGCCAACAGCAUUCUGCAUGGCUAACCUGCCUCAGCAACCAAAUCCCUGGAACUGUCAUAUGCAGAGGGUCUGUGGUGUGGCCAUUUUAUAAAUGAGCCACGGGAAGGCCAGAGAAAGAAACAGCAUGCUCCAAGUCAGAGCAGAAGGCAGCUUCCCUAGGAUCUGUUUAAUGUUUGCUUCUUUACAACACAGGAUCUCGUGAAACCCAAGCUAGCCUCAGACUCAACUGCAUAGCUGAGGAUACCCUUGAACUUGAUUCUCUAAUAUUUCUACCUCAUACCCAGUUCAUGAGGUAAUGCGGAUAGAACCCAGGGCUUCCUGAAUACUAGGAAGGCACUCUACCAACUGAGCUACAUCCCCAGAUCCUCCUCUGGGGAUAAGCCCAGGUUCAAAUCCAAGGCCUUAACAACAUCGGGACACGGACAUAAGACACAGCACUCUACUGGACCUGGGCAUGCUCCUACCCUGUCUAGUGAUCGCAAAAGCCAUCUUUUUAACAGCCCGCGUUAUGAUUCUACCAUCAGACCAGAGAGGCCCUAGAUAGCCCAGCUUCCCAUUGUAAGUCAUCUUCGACAUGUUUAACCGAUGGCUGUGUGGGACUGCUAGAAAGUUUGGAAAUCACCAAGCGCUUUGACUUUCCUGCCCACAAAAACAGUUGGCCUUGGCAGAUGUCCAACGCGUUGACCUUAGAUCCAUUUAAUGAAAACCCUAUUAAUUCAAAAAGAAAGAAAGAAAAUAAGGCAAAAUAGGACAGGCAGUAGAAAGAUCUUUACAAAAAUCUUGUGUGCCCUUCCUCCACUGUUGCCUUGACCAGACAGGGCCACAAAGCUGAUACGACAGGAUUAGGACAAUUGCUUUGUUAACACACAAGCACAGCGUGACAUGAACUCCAGGAAAGGCAUUUGGCAGGAUUAACCUGCUGAGGAUAAAGAUGUAGCAGACGGGACCUGAAUUAAUGGACUGGUAUGGCCAAAGUGGAGAAAUCUAUUUGCAUGUAAUAUUAACUGUACUAAUAAACUCCAGGCGGGGAUCCAACAGCCCGGGAGCCUCUUUGAACCAGGACUUGAUCCCUGUACAUCCUAUCUCUGCUAAGAUGUGUGAGUGUAAGCCGGCUGCCUGCAGAUUACCACUCUGUCCUUGGUGCCUGCAAUAGCACAAGCCCUUUACUGACUGCAACUCAAGCAGAUCCCACUUACAAUAUUAUUUACAACCUAUGGAAAAGCAAUGAAGAAAUGCAGGUUCAACACAUGUAGAAAAUAUCCACCAGGGCCUGGAGAGAUGGCUCAGUAAUUAAGAGCCCUGGCUAUUCCUCCAGAGGACCCGGGUUCAAUUUGUAGCAUCCAUGGGGCAGCUAAGAGUCAUCUAAAGCCCAUCUGAAGCCCUCUUCUGACAUCUGCAGGCAUGGUGCAUACAUGGUACAUACACACACAUGC